UUCCAGACUCCUACGGGAGGCAGCAGUGGGGAAUAUUGCACAAUGGGGGAAACCCUGAUGCAGCGACGCCGCGUGAAGGAAGAAGUAUUUCGGUAUGUAAACUUCUCUCAGCAGGGAAGAAAAUGACGGUACCUGACUAAGAAGCCCCGGCUAACUACGUGCCAGCAGCCGCGGUAAUACGUAGGGGGCAAGCGUUAUCCGGAUUUACUGGGUGUAAAGGGAGCGUAGGCGGUUUAGCAAGUCAGAAGUGAAAGCCCGGGGCUCAACUCCGGGACUGCUUUUGAAACUGUUGAACUAGAUUGCAGGAGAGGUAAGUGGAAUUCCUAGUGUAGCGGUGAAAUGCGUAGAUAUUAGGAGGAACACCAGUGGCGAAGGCGGCCUGCUGGACUGCAACUGACGUUGAGGCUCGAAGGCGUGGGGAGCAAACAGGAUUAGAUACCCCAGUACA
rnacentral:rRNA from 1 species